rnacentral:rRNA from 1 species
UACGGAGGGGGCAAGCGUUACUCGGAAUUAUUGGGCGUAAAGAGCUCGUAGGCGGUUCGUCGCGUCGGCUGUGAAAACCCGGAGCUCAACUCCGGGCCUGCAGUCGAUACGGGCGGACUUGAGUGUUGCAGGGGAGACUGGAAUUCCUGGUGUAGCGGUGAAAUGCGCAGAUAUCAGGAGGAACACCGGUGGCGAAGGCGGGUCUCUGGGCAACUACUGACGCUGAGGAGCGAAAGCGUGGGGAGCGAACAGG